rnacentral:rRNA from 1 species
GUCUACAGGCAUGCUGCCCUGAACAAGCCCGAUCCUGUCUGAUAUUGGAAGCUAAGCAGGGUCGAGCCUGGUUAGUACUUGGAUGGGAGACCACCUAGGAAGACCUGGUGCUGUAGGCA